CCUACGGGGGGCGGCAGUAGGGAAUUUUCGGCAAUGGGGGAAACCCUGACCGAGCAACGCCGCGUGAACGACGAAGUACUUCGGUAUGUAAAGUUCUUUUAUUGGGGAAGAAUGGUCUGUGGAAAAGCAGGCGUGACGGUACCCGAUGAAUAAGCCCCGGCUAACUAUGUGCCAGCAGCCCCGGUC
rnacentral:rRNA from 1 species